rnacentral:lncRNA from 1 species
GAGAGACAACUGCACCAGUAUCAGCCAGGCGAUAGAUAUCUGCCAAGUCUGUAACUACUGGCACUGCCAUUGUGUGUACUCUGAUACGCCUUUCUCCACAAGAUGCAGAUACAGCAAUGCAACUUGAAAGUAAAUAGUCUGAGUUGUCAAUAAUGUCUCUUCAAGUGAUAACUGCAUGGCGAAGGCCUUAUCACAAUCUACAGCUGGAAGUGCUAACAAAUCUGUGG